rnacentral:lncRNA from 1 species
AUUAAAUCAGCUUGUGUUCUUUUGGAAGAGAGGUGGAGGUGUCUUCAUGGGACUUAUUAAUGACCUCCAGAAAGAAUAUUAAUGUGCAGGAAGAAAAAGAGGAAUGAUAAGCAGGCUCCCAGAAACCAUCUGGGAAAAAAAGUAUCAAGAUACUAGGAGAAAGGUGAACAAUUUGUGUGAGAAGAGUCUAUUUGAAUUUGAGAGAGCUGCAAGUCACGAAGAAUCACCACUGUUACUGAAAAGGAUGAAUUCUUUUGCUCAACACACCCUACCCAUUCCGGAUUUCCAGGAUAGAACAGAACAGGAUAUUCAAAGUUGGAGGGGAGGAUUGCCACAAGGAUCAUCGAGUCCAAUUCAUGGCUACACAUGGGACUACCUAAAAAUUAAACCAUGUGUCUGAGAGCAGUGUCCAAACACUUCCUGAACUCAUGACUGAGGCCAUGGCUAUUUCUCUGAGGAGCCUGUUGGCUCUGAAGGGGUGGCAGAGCCACCCCUUCAGAGAAGAACCUUUUCCUGAUAUCUAGCCUGAACCUCUCCUGCUGCAGCUUCAUGCUGUUCCCUGGUGCUGGUCACCAUGAAGAAGAGAUCAGUUGCUUUCC